AUGCGCGGUAGAGGAGCAAUGUGCAGAGGCUGAAGCCGUAUCGAGAGGCACGGUGGACAUUGCACAAGAGAGAAUGCCGGUAUGAGUAGCGAGAGGCAUGCGAGAAACAUGCCCGUCGAAAGCCCAAGGUUUCCUGGGGAAGGUUCAUCCGCCCAGGGUAAGUCGGGGCCUAAGCCGAGGACGGAAGUCGUAGGCGAUGGACAGCAGGUGUAGAUUCCUGCACUACCGAUGGAAUGAAGCAGUGACACAGAAGGAUAACUCGAGCAGGGUGAUGGUCAACCCUGUGCAAGCAUCAAGGUUGGGUUGUAGUGAAGUACGCAAUCCUAAAAGCUGAGGUGUGAUGCGGACCGAAAUUUCAGUAGGGAAGCGAGUGAGUUCACGCUGGCGAGAAAAGCUGCUAGUACAUCCAAAGGUACCCGUACCGGAAACCGACGCAGGUGGGCGAGGAGAGAAUCCUGAGACGAACGGGAGAACCCUUGUUAAGGAACUCGGCAAAAUGACCCCGUAACUUCGGGAGAAGGGGUGCCUCGAAAGAGGCCGCAGAGAAUAGGCCCAAGCAACUGUUUAGCAAAAACACAGGUUUAUGCAAAACCGAAAGGUGAAGUAUAUGAGCUGACGCCUGCCCGGUGCUGGAAGGUUAAGGGGAGAUGUUAGAGCAAUCGAAGCAUUGAACUUAAGCCCCAGUAAACGGCGGCCGUAACUAUAACGGUCCUAAGGUAGCGAAAUUCCUUGUCGGGUAAGUUCCGACCCGCACGAAUGGUGUAACGACUUGUGAGCUGUCUCAACAGGGGGCCCGGUGAAAUUGAAGUAUGGGUGAAGAUGCCCAUUACCCGCGACUGGACGGAAAGACCCCGUAGAGCUUUACUGCAGCCUGAUAUUGAGUUUCGGUAACUGAUGCACAGGAUAGGUGGGAGUCUGAGAGACAUGGGUUUCGGCUCGUGUGGAGACGCUGUUGGGAUACCACUCUUCGGUUACUGAAAUUCUAACAUAGCUCUGUGAAACCAGAGGAUGGACAGUGUCAGGUGGACAGUUUGACUGGGGCGGUCGCCUCCGAAAGAGUAACGGAGGCGCCCAAAGGUACCCUCAGAAUGGAUGGAAACCAUUCGAAGAGCGCAAAGGCAGAAGGGUGCCUGACUGCGAGAUUGACAAAUCGAGCAGAGACGAAAGUCGGGCUUAGUGAUCCGGCGGUAUUGAGUGGAAAAGCCGUCGCUUAACGGAUAAAAGCUACCUCGGGGAUAACAGGCUGAUCUCCCCCAAGAGUCCACAUCGACGGGGAGGUUUGGCACCUCGAUGUCGGCUCAUC
rnacentral:rRNA from 1 species